rnacentral:rRNA from 1 species
GACGAACGCUGGCGGCGUGCCUAAUACAUGCAAGUCGAGCGAAUCAAUAGGAGCUUGCUCCUGUUGGUUAGCGGCGGACGGGUGAGUAACACGUGGGCAACCUGCCUGUAAGACUGGGAUAACACCGGGAAACCGGGGCUAAUACCGGAUAAUCCUUUUUCUCUCAUGAGGGCAAGCUGAAAGUCGGUUUUGGCUGACAUUUACAGUUGGGCCGGAGGCGCAUUAGCUAGUUGGUGAGGUGAUGGCUCACCAUGGCGACGAUGCGUAGCCGACCUGAGAGGGUGAUCGGCCACACUGGGACUGAGACACGGCCCAGACUCCUACGGGAGGCAGCAGUAGGGAAUCUUCCACAAUGGACGAAAGUCUGAUGGAGCAACGCCGCGUGAGCGAUGAAGGCCUUCGGGUCGUAAAGCUCUGUUGUUAGGGAAGAACAAGUACCGGAGUAACUGCCGGUACCUUGACGGUACCUAACCAGAAAGCCACGGCUAACUACGUGCCAGCCGCCGCAGUAAUAC